rnacentral:rRNA from 1 species
UACGUAGGGCGCAAGCGUUAUCCGGAAUUAUUGGGCGUAAAGAGCUCGUAGGCGGUUUGUCGCGUCUGCUGUGAAAACUGGAGGCUCAACCUCCAGCCUGCAGUGGGUACGGGCAGACUAGAGUGCGGUAGGGGAGAUUGGAAUUCCUGGUGUAGCGGUGGAAUGCGCAGAUAGUCAGGAGGAACACCGAUGGCGAAGGCAGAUCUCUGGGCCGUAACUGACGCUGAGGAGCGAAAGCAUGGGGAGCGAACAGGAUAGAUACCGAGUA